AGCGAACGUUUGCGGCGGGCCUAACACAUGCAAGUCGAACGGGCAUCUUCGGAUGUCAGUGGCGCACGGGUGCGUAACACGUGGAUAACCAACCCUCUAGUUCGGGACAUCAGCGGGAAACUGCUGCUAAUACCGGAUGUGUCCGCCGGGUCAUCAGGCCUGACGGAGAAAGGCACGCAAGGGCCGCUAGAGGACGGGUCCGCGUCCCAUCAGCUUGUUGGUGAGGUAAUGGCUCACCAAGGCGAAGACGGGUAGCUGGUCUGAGAGGAUGAUCAGCCACACUGGAACUGAGACACGGUCCAGACUCCUACGGGAGGCAGCAGUGGGAAUAUGCGCAAUGGGCGAAAGCCUGACGCAGCCACGCCGCGUGAGCGAUGAAGGUCUUAGGAUCGUAAAGCUCUGUGGAGGGAGAAGAAUAAAGCCGGUGAAGAGCCGGCCUUGACGGUAUCCCUUUAGCAAGCACCGGCUAACUCCGUGCCAGCAGCCGCGGUAAUACGGAGGGUGCAAACGUUGCUCGGAAUCAUUGGGCGUAAAGCGCGCGUAGGCGGCUUGGCAAGUUGGAUGUGAAAGCCCUGGGCUCAACCCAGGAGGUGCAUUCAAAAUCUGCCUGGCUUGAAUCUCGGAGGGGGCUCAGGGAAUUCCCGGU
rnacentral:rRNA from 1 species